rnacentral:lncRNA from 1 species
GAUUACACACUGAGUUUUCAUAACUCGCCCUUCUGGUUUCUUGUACAGGUAAUCCUUAGGCGGGCGAUGCUGCAAGGGACUCGAUUGAGGCCACACGACUGUUUUUGAUACUAUUUUAAAAUUUUAAUCCUUAAGCUAUUUUAUUUGGGUAUUUGAAAUGUAAUAAGGCCCCUUUAAAUUUUUACUUUAAAUUUAUAUUUGCUGAAAGUAGGACGCAAACUUUUAAAAAGAUAAAUGUUUUCAAAACACCACGCCUAUAUAAUAUCUU